AUAACUGUGCCAUGCUCACUCAGCUCACAGUCUUCUCAUGGCCAUCACCUGCAUUACUAAUUGACAGCACACUGCCAUAAGACCUUUCUACAGACCAUCUAAAGACCCCUUCAGGGGGACACAUCAGCUUUCUUGAGCAUAUAACAAGGAGAUUUUGAUGACACCCAUUGACUCAGACAGCCAGAGGAAGUUCAUCCACUUACAUGCCAGGAUUUCUCAUGGUUCUUUGGAUUUCUCCCAGCCUCCUGGAAAAAGGCAGUAGGUGGAUUCAUUAAGGAAAAUUGUUCCUAGAUGUGAAUGAGGAUGAGUGUACUUAUGCCACAUGCCCAGUUUUCUGGGAAAAGGCUCCUGAUCCAUUGGGAAAAUAAAUGUGGUUUGUUUUCAAA